GACGAACGCUGGCGGCGUGCUUAACACAUGCAAGUCGAACGGAAAGGCCCUGCUUGCAGGGUACUCGAGUGGCGAACGGGUGAGUAACACGUGGGUGAUCUGCCCUGCACUUCGGGAUAAGCCUGGGAAACUGGGUCUAAUACCGGAUAGGAGCCAUUUUUAGUGUGAUGGUUGGAAAGUUUUUUCGGUGUAGGAUGAGCUCGCGGCCUAUCAGCUUGUUGGUGGGGUAAUGGCCUACCAAGGCGGCGACGGGUAGCCGGCCUGGGGGGGUGGACGGCCACAUUGGGACUGAGAUUCGGCCCCGACUCCUACGGGGGGCAGCCGUGGGGAAUAUUGCACAAUGGGCGCGAGCCUGGUGCAGCGACGCCGCGGGGGGGAUGACGGGCUUCGGGUUGUAAACUCCUUUCGCUAGGGACGAAGCUUUUUGUGACGGUACCUAGAUAAGAAGCACCGGCUAACUACGUG
rnacentral:rRNA from 1 species